GACGAACGCUGGCGGCGUGCUUAACACAUGCAAGUCGAACGAUGAACCCGGAGCUUGCUCUGGUGAAUUAGUGGCGAACGGGUGAGUAACACGUGAGUAACCUGCCCCUUUCUCUGGGAUAACGCUUCGAAAGGAGUGCUAAUACCGGAUACUCACAUCGAGGCACAUGCCUUGGUGUGGAAAGUUUUUCGGAAAGGGAUGGAGUCGCGGCCUAUCAGCUUGUUGGUGAGGUAACGGCUCACCAAGGCGACGACGGGUAGCCAGCCUGGGAGGGCGACCGGCCACACUGGGACUGAGACACGGCCCAGACUCCUACGGGAGGCAGCAGUGGGGAAUAUUGCACAAUGGGCGCAAGCCUGAUGCAGCGACGCCGCGUGAGGGAUGAAGGUCUUCGGAUUGUAAACCUCUUUCAGUAGGGACGAAGCGAAGGUGACGGUACCUAAAGAAGGAGCACCGGCUAACUACGUGCCAGCCGCCGCCGUAA
rnacentral:rRNA from 1 species